UCCUGUCCUUCCCUCUUGGAGGAAGGACUUUCUUCAAUUUCCUAGGUGAACAAGGUCAUGACACUGAGACACCAAACUAUGUGUACACUUUUACUAAGUUGACAAAUUUCCCCAGAGUCUUAGUAGAUAAUCUAUCAAUUAUCAUUGCCAGCAUCACCUUGUCAUCACCAUCAUGAUCACCACCGGCCUGUGCCACCAUAUCAUCAUCAUCACCACCACCACCACCGUCGUCACUGUCAUCACCAGCAUUAUUGCUGAUGUCACGAUCUCUUUAAUAUUGAGAAUUCUGGUGAUGUGAGGAUUCUGAUUCAUCUGUGCUGUGAUGUUCCGCUGUCUAAAGUCUAACCCCGAGCUCUACGGCUCUCUAGCUGUGUGACCUUGGCAACAUGAUGAAAAUCCAACUUUUCAAAGAUCUGACUCCGGCUAAAGGAAUGUAGGGCUAAUGCCAGUGACAAAAUGGACUGGCCAACAACAAGAGAGCAAGGGCAAGAACAAGCAGGCACACGGUGAGCUUCCUUCUUCCGUGUCCUCUAUGCCAGCAGAAGGCGUGGCCCGGAUUAAAGGUGGAUCUUCUCACCUCAAAGAUUUGGAUUAAAGUAAUGGAUGUCAGAUGCCUAACGUGUGCCGGAAAAGCUGUCAAGUUGGACGAGGAGGCGGAAAAGUAAUCGAGACCUGUAGUGCUUUUUGACUUACAAUGUAUUACACUGAUCAAACACUUAAAAAUAAUGAUGAAAAUAAGCUUGCUUUUAGGAGUCCCUACAGCUGGUCCCUACAGCCCCCACACCCUUCUUUCUGGCUUGCAGAGAGCAGCAGGGAGUGUGGGGGAGGCAGGAGCAAAGCACCCACAUGCCUGUGUCGAGAACCUGCCCACUGCUCUGCAGGAUGAUCCAGCCUCGGGCAAGCACAGAUACCACGUGCUGCUGGCAACACCGUGGGCACCAUUUGGUACUGAGC
rnacentral:sRNA from 1 species